rnacentral:rRNA from 1 species
UACAGAGGGUGCGAGCGUUAAUCGGAAUUACUGGGCGUAAAGCGCACGUAGGCGGCUUGGUAUGUCGGGUGUGAAAGCCCCGGGCUUAACCUGGGAAUGGCAUGGGAAACUGGCGGGCUGGAGUGUGGCAGAGGGGGGUGGAAUUCCGCGUGUAGCAGUGAAAUGCGUAGAGAUGCGGAGGAACACCGAUGGCGAAGGCAGCCCCCUGGGCCAACACUGACGCUCAGGCACGAAAGCGUGGGGAGCAAACAGG